AUUGAACGCUGGCGGCAUGCUUUACACAUGCAAGUCGAACGGCAGCGCGGGCUUCGGCCUGGCGGCGAGUGGCGAACGGGUGAGUAAUACAUCGGAACGUGCCCAGUAGUGGGGGAUAGCUGGGCGAAAGCCGGAUUAAUACCGCAUACGACCAGAGGGUGAAAGCGGGGGAUCUUCGGACCUUCCGCUAUUGGAGCGGCCGAUGGCAGAUUAGCUAGUUGGUGGGGUAAAGGCCUACCAAGGCGACGAUCUGUAGCUGGUCUGAGAGGAUGACCAGCCACACUGGCACUGAGACACGGCCCAGACUCCUACGGGAGGCAGCAGUGGGGAAUUUUGGACAAUGGGCGAAAGCCUGAUCCAGCAAUGCCGCGUGUGUGAUGAAGGCCUUCGGGUUGUAAAGCACUUUUGGCGGGAACGAAAAGGACUGUGCCAAUACCACGGUUCGAUGACGGUACCCACAGAAUAAGCACCGGCUAACUACGUG
rnacentral:rRNA from 1 species